GGUUUUCCCCCUCCGCAUCGCUCGAUCCAACUCCUCCCUCUCCCUCGGUCUCGCCUCUCCUAUUGCUCGAUCCUCUCUAGGGUUCGCCGCCCGCCGCCGUCCCUCGCCGUCCUACUCCGCUGUUGCCCCUCCCUCCACCUACCUCGCCCCUGCUCUAGGGUUCGCCUCCCGCCGCCCUGCUCCGCUGUUGCCCGUCCUUCCGCCUGCCUUGCCCCCUCCCCUACACUCACCCCUGCCCGAUCUGGAUGAGGCGUUGCCUCCCGUUCCUCUCAUCGCGUCCCUCGUGCCAGCCAUGGAAGAGGGGAGGAAGAAGGGGAGGGAGAGCAAAGAGGACCGCAGUGGCGAUGUGCCAACGUUGGCAGGACGAAGAUGUGUGAAUCAAGGAGUCCCUGCAUCUACCCGCGACCCUAGAAUAGCCGCUACCGCUGUGACCUUUCUCCAUGCCGUGAGCUUCGAGGAGUCUGGCGGCGCCAUCACGCCGGCCCCUGCUCUAGGGUUCGCCUCCCGCCGCCGCCGCCCCCCGCCGCCCUGCUCCGCUGUUGCCCGUCCUUCCACCUGCCUCGCCCCCUCCCCUACACUCACCCCUGCCCGAUCUGGAUGAGGCAUUGCCUCCUGUUCCUCUCAUCGCGUCCCUUGUGCCAGCCAUGGAAGAGGGGAGGAAGAAGGGGAGGGAGAGCAAAGAGGACCGCGGUAGCGAUGUGCCAACGUUGGCAGGACGAAGAUGUGUGAAUCAAGGAGUCCCUGCAUCUACCCGCGACCCUAGAAUAGCCGCUACCGCUGUGACCUUUCUCCAUGCCAUGAGCUUCGAGGAGUCUGGCGGCGCCAUCACGCUGGCCUCUGUCCAAGAGGUCAUCGCGCUCAACAGGCCCUCACUCCUCGGCUCCGCCUGCGGAGGUCGUCGACGCCAUCGCAGGGUGCCGCUUUGAGGCCGGGGUUGAAGCUGCCACCGAGGAGGCCAUCUUGACGCAGAUGUUGCAGGCACUCCUGACGUUCAUGCGCUCCCCUGCGAUUAGUGACCAACACAUCUGCUCUGUCGUGAGCAUGUGCUUCGUGUCAUACAGGUCGCGGCCAAAGGCGAGCUCGUGCAGCGGUUCAGGUGCAUCCCAUAGGGGCAGCUCAAGUUUCUUUCAGAAUGCUAUUUGUUCUGAGUGCAUUGCAUAUUGAAGUAAACUUGAUGGGCUAAUCUUGAGUUCCUCCAUCAAGUUAUAUUACCUCGACAAGAAAAGGUGCAGGAAAACCAUAUAAAGUACUAUGGCGAGUCUAUCUCAAUUGAACUAGAACUCAAAUUGUAGCAAUUCCAAGCUUUUUUCUACAACUGCAAUUGGGUGGACUAUGGUAUGGGUUGGUUUAUUAGUUUGAAGGGAUUUUAAGUGACAACCUGCUACUUUUUCUACUGGUAGUGAAUUCAAAUUAAGUCUGAUGUCUCUAUCUAAUAUACUGAACCUGGAAGAUUUGUCUGAGGUCUUUAUCUAAUAUAUCAAGAAUUGUCUUUCUGUUCUGAACAUGGAACUGAACAUGAAAAAUUUACCUUACUGUUAACUGUAGUUUUGUCUCAUUGCCAAUAUAUCUGCAUAAGGUACAUCUAAGGAGGCCUUCUCCGACAAGGAGGCUGCGGGUCAAGGUCGUCGGCAGCGACGAUGCCGCCAGCCGCAAGCGCCGCCGCGAGGACGACAAAAGAGAAGUUUAGAUCUUUUUGGACAGUUAUUGCAGCCAACAGCCAACAUUCUAAAUGAGUAUAAAACAAUGCUAUGAGGUAAUAUAUCCCUCUGUGAUAAUAGUUUAACAUAUGGGCUACUCGUGGUUGCAUGCUAAAUUAUUGCUGGUAUCAACUUUAUUAUUAGUUUAGUGAUUAUUACAAGCAUCUCAAUUUUUCAGUCAAAGGCAUCUAAAAUGUUUCUUGAUUCACGCAUGUAUAUUUCAAAGAGGAAUGCAGCCUUGAGUAAAUGAAUAUUGCAAAGCUUAAUACCAGUCCCAAAAACUUGCUCUGGCCAGAGAAAGAGGCCAAUAUCCGGCAUGGUCUGUUCAAUCUACUACAUGUAAUUUGGUGUUCUAUUGUGCGCACCAUCAGUUUUUGUUGUUGUAUAAGUUCUACUUCAAAUAUGUGUAGCUAGACCCCGUCGAAGUGAUCUUUUUGUUUCUCGUCUCAUGUAACUGAAGAAAAUGAGAGAAGGUAUUGGACACUGGUCAUGUAUGUAGUCGGCAGAGCUGUUUUAUGCAAUGCCUAUUGUCACAAUAGCAUAUAUGUCUAUACGGGGAGGAGACCAAGAGAGUACAUCAGAAGCCAUUGAUUUGCCAUGGAAUAUUAAAAACUUUCAGAUUACCUGUUCAUAUGAUGGUAUCCACAAGAAACUUCCUAUCCUGUAUGUUUUAGCAUGCUCCACACAAAUAUAUUAAUUAAUUUGUGUAGGUAUGCUUCUCCUUCUUUCAGUUCCUGAAUAAUUAUACCACCAUCUGUGUGGAGUAUCUUGUAGUGCUCCACACAAAUAGAUAAAUUAUUUUUUAUGAGUAUGCUUCUCCUUUUAUCAGCUCCUGAAGAAUUAUACUGAUGUCGUGUGCUUUAUUUGCAAGAUUUAUAUGACUUAAACAAGAACUUGUUAAAUAAUAUGAGUGCAUAUAAGUAGAUUGAUCUUGCCUCUUAUGUAGUCUGGUAGAUUUGGAAAGAAAGGAAUUGCAGAUUUUGUCUGGACAAAGAGAUGAAGCCAGAAAGGUAAAUGUCUCAAGUUCUACAGAAUGUUCGCCUCAUAUUGGAGGCAUUUGAAACAAGCCUUUGCUACUGUACAUCCAAGCUGGGUUCUUGAUGUUAAUUUCAUUUAUACGCAUAGUAAUAAAUUUUGCCCCUGGCUUCCUAAGCAUAUACUUUGUUCCUGGCUAGGAAUAAUUUCCGAACAGUUUUACAAAUGGUGAAAAAGAAAGGGUUUUGUUUACUAUUUUUUAUGACCGUGGACUCAUGAGUUCAUAACAUAUAAUGUAUUAUUUGUGUUCAUUCCUUUAAUGUGGAUUAUAACAUGAUCUACCUUUGCAUAAACAUCGAGGACUACUUUUGGUUCAUAUUCAUGCAUCCACUUCUCGAUAUUGAGAUUUUUCACAUAUACUGAACUUGUCUUAGUCAGCCCAACUCAGCUGUAUGUGUGACAUUUAUAAGAUGACUCCGUAAAAUUCAUAGAAGACACUAUUCUUUUAUUCUGUUCUUUUGUUUCUUCCAGAUUUUGCUCUCCUCGCUUAUAUUUCGAUAUUGUUAAUUUGAUUAGAUGACUCGGUCGAUGAUGUUGGGCAUGUCCAUGGUAUCCAUUAAAAAACUUAAAAAAAGUCUUGCACCGGAAUAAAAUUAGAUAGCACACCACUUAUGAGUCGAAACAUAUGCAAGCCAAGCCGGUACCAUAAAAUUAGUAGAUUAGGUCCAUUCCAGCCGCUAAUUCUUUGUGCCAAUGCUAAGUAUGUGAUGAUCUUUCCACAAAAAAUCAAGUUUGUAUAGAGUGACCAAUGCUAAGUAUGUGAUAAGCUUGCACUGACUUUUAGUUACAUCUGAUGAUCUUUCCACAAAAAAUGUAUUAUAGAGUGUAAUAUUUACAGUGUGGGGAUGUUGGUGGCCAAGAAAGUUUAUGCCCUUGUGAAGACAUUACUAUGAAGUCCUAAGUUAUCCUGUAAAAAGGAUUCUUAUGAUACGCAUGUAAAGCAACUUCUGAACUUUUAUGUAGAUAUUUAAGUGCCAAUACCAUCUUUUGGUAUAACACAAAAAAAUCAAGUUUUGAGGCCAGAGAUUUACCUUGCUUUUGCAUGUGCAUUACUUUAGCUAUUCAACCUGCCGUCGAGCUUUUAGUUGAAGUUCACUAAAUUUCUUAUAUCGGCAUUUCAGGGAUAAUACGAUUGAACCAACUGUUACCGGUGCAAUGCUUUUGGGGUCGACCAAAACAUUUAAAAAUGUUAAAUGUGGUUAUGUGAUAAAAUCAAGUAUGAAGGAGGAAGAGAUCAACACCAGCCGCGGCAACAAAGAUGACAGUGUGUCUCACUGAGCAUGAGCAAUGGCACACUCUUGUCGAGUACCUACCAAGAUGCUUCCCUGGUCAGACUUCGAGCACUUCCUCCUUGCCGCCGCCGCCUUGGCUAAUGUUGUUGUUUCCUCGGAUAAGCCGUAUCAGCUGCCAGAUUAACAUAAUGGAACGUCGUCAGGUGUAUUUGAAGGUUGCCAGUUUAGGUGGGCCAAACAACCAGUGCGCUGAGGUCAAAAUAAGCAUGACACCAGUUUGAUUCUUUUAGGGGUCGCCUACAUGAUGAAAGAUGCUCAGGCACACAUCAUUGUUGGGUUUUCGCAUGUCAUGUCAUACUUGGUCUGUAACUGAAUCUUGAGAAUUCAUUUGUAUGACUUGAUGUACAGACGUGUUAUUCAUAAUGAAAAUAAUAUCAUUGUAUGUGCUUAAAAUAUUA